UGUCAAACAAAAUAUUAAAUCUUAAACCCACGUUUUUUCUUUCCUCCCAUUCCUUUCUUUUACUAAUGUUAUACCAAAUAUGGGAUUAAUUCCUAUCAUUUUCUUUCGUCAUACCAAACAUGGAAAACAUAUUUUAUUUCCUUUAUUUUCUCUUCCCUUCCCUUCCCUUCCUUUACUAAUAUUGAACCAAAUGAAGCCUAAAUCGAGACAAAACCCUAAAACAAAACUCCUCCAUUAUUCACCCUUUCACAAUCGGUCAUCCUCCUCCUCUUCUCAGUGCCUAUGUUCUUCCUGCUCCUCCACCCUGCCGCGUUCACCCUCCUCCUCCAUCUUAGUGCUCGUGGUCAAGGACAGGAAAGGCUCAGCUCCGUGACGCAAGUACGAACGGGUUAUGUGCAGUUUGAAGCCUCCUCUCACCAUAUCAAUAUAUCAUCCACCGCACUACUCUGCUCGCCGGUAGAUCCCGCUUCUCACCGCCGCUACCACCUACUCGCCUCUGCCAUAGUACUGAGAUUCCAUUUUUGAAUCUCACAGAUCUACCGGCCGUUAUCUGCUUCAGACCCAGAAAAGUACAAAAACAAUUCUCUAUUUUAUUCUCAUAAUUAACUAAUGUAUUUUUAUUUUCCAAUUUCCUCAAUUGGAUUUUAGAUUUUGGUCCAUUGGAUAGAAGUGAAUUCAGGAAAAUGAUAUUUGUUUUAGAUUUUCAAGGAUAGGAAAAAUAAAUCGUUUGAUUUCA